GCAUAACCGAUCCUGUCAGGUGUCGGCGACAAGCCGGAGAAUCGGGAAUCCGGGGCAGAUCCGGAACGUGCCCAACGCUGUGAGGUGGACGCUCGGCCGCAGAAUUUGAAAGCCACUGGGAUUUUCCCGGGAAGGCGGCGGCGGGAAGCGGAUGAAGCCAAGUCAGAAGACCGGCCUGACACGAUAGACCGAC
rnacentral:ncRNA from 2 species